GGGGUCUAAAAAAUGCGCUGCUGCUAUAUUAUCUAUAGCGCCUGUUAUGAACAGACCUAUUGCUAUGCCUUUCUCCUUUAUUUCUAUAUUUUCUUUUAUUUUCCUUUACAUUUAUUUUUUCUUUCUCCUUUUUCUAUUUCUUUCAUUUUCAUUUAUUUUUAUAUUUGAUUUUCAUUUUUUUCAUUAGCAGUAGCGCUUUUCAAGGCAAACGCGCUGCUACAAUAAUCUUAGCAGUAACAUGGUUUCUCUAAGACUGCUACUACUAUUUGUAGCCUCUCGGCUUAGUAGUGGGAAUUUUAGUAGUAGCGCUUUUUCCCGAAGAAGCACUACUGCUACAUCUGUAUCUGUAGCACGGUUCAAGCGCACGCGCUACUGCUAUGUAGCACUAGCGCCCUUUUUUAACCAGCGCUACUGCUAAAGUUCUGUGUAUAAGGUUUUCCGUAGUAGUGAUAGUAAAGUAGUACACCUUCCGAUGGCAAUAACAAAUUCUGAAUAAUAAGAUUAAGGAAAAAUUAGUAUGCCGAUCUUUUCUAGAAAACAAAUAAAAUAUGAUUCCUUGGUCUUCAGAGAAAAUAGAAAUCAUUUUUCAUAAUUCCAAUACGAAACGACUUUAUUUGUAGAAGCAAGGCAAGCAACUCAGCCAAAUGGAUGCUGUAGUUACAUGAAUACAAACGUAGCAAAAGGAAAUCAUAUAUGCACGGGACAUGGACACAACACAAAAAAAUGUUUAUGCAUAUUUCGCAUACAUAACUAAAGUUAAUGAUUAUCUCAUGCAAAAAUAGUCACUAAUUAAUUAACUCAAUUCAUCCAACAUUAUAUUGCUAGUCUGAUACAACUUGUACCGAGGAUUAUUAUAAAAGAGCACUUCUAGAAUCAUGUGGAUAUAAAUUAUUUAACAUUUAUGUCAACAAAAUACAGACCACCAUGCAUGUUGUCUAGUCAAGUUCUAACGGGAUGACUGUAAAACGAUUUACCUUCAAACUAUAUUGAUAGAAAAAUAGAUCGGACUCAUACUUAAUCUUUGAACUCGUGUAAUUAGCACUCGGACGUUUGCAAAAAUAGUUCAUCUGGUUAUAUUUAGUACCUACAGAAGCGAGCAUAGAAAUGUUUAUCCUCACAAACAAGGAAUAAAAAUAUACAUGUGUAAGACCAAUACUAUAACUGAUUAUCAAGAAAACUAAACAAAUAGAAGAAACAUAAAAUAAAGGAUGGAAUAUUGGACCUACCUGACUAAGAAUGCCGUAGGAUACAGUAGGAAUUCCUUCUUUACGGCUGACUCCCAUAGAAUUUCCAGAAAAUGCAUAUUGACCAAGCUUAUGCGGUCCUUGAUAGAGCAAAAAUUCAGAGACAACCUUCAUAACUAAUAUCCAACCACCUGAGUAGAAAAUACAAACCUUGUUAUCUGUAGUCAUAACAUGUAAAUUGAAUAGUAGAUUACUGCUAAGUUAGCAGCUUACAGUGAAAAGUUCUAUCCUACAGAAAAGGGAAAAUAAAUGCCACCUGAAAGCCAGAGCCAAAUAUAUAGAUGGCCAAUCAUUGCAGCAGUAGAAUAACGAAAAUUUUCACUUUAAGAGGGAAUCUUGACUCAAGAUGUUAAAGGUCUAAGCCACUGAUUGCGGCUAUCUUAACAGAUGAAACAAAAGAUGCCACAAAAAGGCCAAGAACUAAUCUGUAAAAGUAUGUAGAUGAGGAAAAAAAUAUGCCAUAGUAAUUGACUCUGAAGAUCAAUUUGGACUUUGGAGUACAUAUAUUUGCAUUCCACAAAAAUAGAAGCUCAAUGAAAUAUCUGAAUUUUACAUAUAUUUGGAUUUUAAAGAUCAAUUAGUUAUUUCAAAAAUACUCAGUGAAACAAAGAACUCAAAGCUGCAUCACACAAGAGAGAAGGGUGCUUCUCUCCACUCCUAAAAAUACCUGCCCAUACAUUCUAAUCCAAAUAAUCGACAACCAACGAAGAGAAUCUCAAGAGUACCCACUAAAUCCAAUAACAAUGGGCAAUUAAGGAGGCUUUCGAGCCAAUAACAAGAGUAACACGUACCUCGUCAGCCGCACUGCUGGCGCAGGUCGAGCCCGCCCAGAUCGCGCAG
rnacentral:lncRNA from 1 species